rnacentral:rRNA from 1 species
GACAGAGGGUGCAAACGUUGUUCGGAAUUACUGGGCGUAAAGCGCGUGUAGGCGGCAGGGUGUGUCGGAUGUGAAAUCCCGUGGCUCAACCACGGAAGUGCACCCGAACUACCCAGCUCGAGUCUCGGAGAGGAAGGUGGAAUGCUUGGUGUAGAGGUGAAAUGCGCAGAUAUCGGGAGGAACACCUAUUGCGAAGGCAGCUCGCUGGGACGUUACUGACGCUGAGACGCGAAAGCGUUGGGGGAGCAAACAGG